UACGUAGGGUGCGAGCGUUAAUCGGAAUUACUGGGCGUAAAGCGUGCGCAUGCGGUUCUCCAAGUCCGUUGUGAAAGCCCCGGGCUCAACCUGGGAAUGGCAGUGGAAACUAGGGGACUGGAAUCUGGCAGAGGGGGGUGGAAUGCCGCGUGUAGCAGUGAAAUGCGUAGAGAUGCGGCGGAACACCGAUGGCGAAGGCAGCCCCCUGGGCUGAGAUUGACGCUCAGGCACGAAAGCGUGGGGAGCAAACAGG
rnacentral:rRNA from 1 species